GUUUGCUUAAGAUUUUGCAACGAGUUCAGAGUAGCUGAUUCUGCAACAAGUUCUCAUCGCAAUGGAGCUCCUCUUGAAGUAUACCGUUCUGUAUUGCUGGGACGUGUUGCAGCAGCGGUGGAAUUUCGAGGGGAUAAGACUCCCCAGUUCUUCAUGUUACGCCUGGGCUGGGUAGUGCGACUCUGCUGCUUAAUUCUCAAAGCCAAUUGAUGGGCUUCCUCGACACUAGCAAGGCGUACUGUGAGGUUUCUGGACCCAUUUAUUCUGGAUGGAUCACAUCACACUUGAAGUUUCAUUGUCAAAUGUAUUAAAAUUUUGAAAUGGUACUUUAUUUCAUUUGAACUCUGAGCAAAAUUAUGAUUAAGACAAGAUGAUAUUUGUUUUCCCCUGUU